GUGUCUUUAAUCAUGUUAUCUACUCUGUUAUUGAGUUACUGUUGCUCAACUGUGCUGUUAUACUAUCUGUAGAAUCAUCUUCAGGACAUGUAAAUCCACAUCACCACACCCCAUGGCUGAGUCUGAUUCUAGCAUCUGCUGUUUUAAACUGCAUCUUCAUCGCAGCAAUUGUUGCUCUGCUGAUAUGCCUCUGCAAAAGAUCUUCAAACAGCCAAACUCCUGAUUCUAAUCUACAGCAGCACGGACAACAACAGCAAGACCUCCUGAAUUCAGAGUAUGCUCAGGUUGAGUUUCUGACACUGACCAGAGGACCAGGGCAAUGUUCUAGCACAACACCCACAGAAGAGAACAUCAACCUCAGAUGGUAACCUGAUACAGAUAGGGUAGAAUGCAAAUUUCACUGGACUGUUUGAGUAAUGCUGUUUUGUGUGCUGUGUAUGUAGGGGUGAUAGGAAAACUGAGGCAUAUAAACUUAUUGCUGUACAUUAAUUUAGGUGAAAAAACAUAAUUUAUGCUUCAGAUGUGCCUUAUUUAUAUUUAAAA